CCGCCCCUCCUCUCUCGCUACCCGGAUCACAGCUGUUUAACGCCGCUAAUGACGGACCUGUAAAGCGCCUGUAGGUACUGAAGCACAACGUUAUGAGAUGAAGCUUCUAUAAACACCUUCUCCAGGGGCUACAAGAAGAAGAAGAAGAAGAAGAAGAAGAAGAAGAAGAAGAAAGAAGUACUAGUUUCUGGGGUUGUCAGAGCUUUAGGGUUGAAUGUGCACUGUGCGUAACGGACAGCCCGCAUCUCUUCACAUGCGCCACGCGCCUCGCUCGCCUCGGUGACCCGCGUUCAGGAACCUGCAGUUGGGUCUCACCGUUUUCCAAACGCCGAAAUACCAUUGGGCCGCCUGGGUCACGUGGCCGCGCACGGUGUAAUUACAACCAGUUAUAAAGUGACACAGUGGUAGAUAAGCACGAGCUGACGGAUUGUACUAAAGGAAUGAUUAACAGGGGAAAGGAGGGAGUGGGUGAACUGAGAUCGCUAUACAGCCGAAAAAGACGGUAAAGGCAAGAUCAAAAGGACGCAUCCACAUGUUGAUAAAGCAUGUAAACUGUCUAACUUUGAACUGUUUCAGCAAACAUUCUCAGUCAAGUUUCCCAAAAUCAUCACAGCAGAAAGAUCGUUAAAUUGUAGCGCAAGCAUCACAUGUGGCCCUGGGGAUUUGUUCUCAUUCAGCUACAACAGCUUUAGUGAGAACAGACAUGUCGGUCUGGAUAUUUUGUACAUUGUAUAUCUGUAUGUCUAUAUAUUAGAUAUAUAUUUGUACAUCUGAACAUUUGUGUGCUUUCAUCUCUGUGGACCGUUUAUUUAUUUAUUUAUUUAUUUAUUUAUUUAUUUAUUUAUCUAUCUAUCUAUCUAUCUAUCUAUCUAUCUAUCUAUCUAUCUAUCUAUCUAUCUAUCUAUCUAUCUAUCUAUUUAUUUAUUUAUUUAUUUAUUUAUUUAUUUUAUGGGAGAGACCCACAUGUGGGUGUGAUAAUCUGGUGUCCACGAACGUUUGGCCAUAUAGUGUAUUUUCCUAGUUGUACAUUUGAAGUCAUAGUAAGAUAUGAUAUUGCUGAGUUGUAUGUUAUUUUCUUAUAAUCUUUUCUCAUUGGAUCUUUUUACAAAUCAAUACAUUUCUACUGUCAUAAAAUACAAAUACUCCACUCCAGUUUUGGCUCAGAUGGGAUGAGUGGCCCAGUAAACACAGGCCUGUUGACAGAGGCGAGAGAACCUAAUGACACUGGCGGCUACAAUGCCAACAGAGCAUGACCAUUCUGACUGCUAUAAGUGGAUGUGAACUGAUAACAGGAGAGUACCUGAGAGCUCUUUGCUUACCAAAAGGAUUUAUCAACUUAACCCUGUCUUCUUUCUCCUUUUUUUUUCUCCAGUGCCAUUUUAUGGCUCUGAGUGGAGUCCAGCGCUAAAGACAGAGCUCUUUAUAGCAGAAUAAACCAUGUCUAGGCCUAACAUGUGGGGGUCAAGGUUUCAAUCUUGACAGAGAGGGCUUCAGGAGCUAAUGAAACAAGAGCCGUGUUCACGUACCUCAAUACAUUUUCAUUUAUUUAUUCACAGAUCUGUCAAGAGGCAUGUCUAGCUUUUUAUUAAACUGGAUGUUUUACUUGU